CCUCAUAGGGAUUUGGGAACCACUUACAGU
rnacentral:piRNA from 1 species